AUUCAAAUGAUAACGAUGUAGAACGUCUCCGUAACGGUUUGAGAAUUAUCAAACUCUAUUACCAAGAAUUUCAUUGACCGUUCUUUCUACUUAAAAUGAUUCACUCAAAGAAACCAGAGGCUACGCCUAUGCAUGCUCAUAACGCGUCCAAUGUCAUAAUUCGUAUCCAGACGAUGUAGCGGGUUAAAUUGUCGACCGGAUAAUUCGUCACAGUGUAUAAUAUUUAAAGUAACGCGAGUGCCAUUUCCGGUCCCAUGUAUUCUCAGUAUCGAUCAUCGAUCACGUCUAUCAGGUCGUGCACGGACGAUCUGUGUCGGAGGAAACCGACACGCCCACGCACACUGGCGCAACCGAACAGGUCUUGCCGAUCAUAUCCGCGGUAAUGACGUUUAAAAACCUGAUUUGGAGUGUAGAAUCAUAGUGAUCCUACGAUAUACCAACACUACGACGUAUCAACCUAUAUACGAUAGGAACGCUACAAGAGAAUUUCAUCCAAAGCAACGGUAUCCGAUUACUUCACGAAAAGCUUCCAACGUUUCCUAUCGCUUCGAAUUAUUUCAGAAACGUAGAACGACUACUAUCCAUCCUGAAAACGUUCCUCCGUGAAGCAAGUCAAAAUGUAUCGAUCGAUCAAUUACCAAUAUGCUAAACCAAUAAAAACAGAACGUAAGACGAACGAAGCGCUAUGACGAUGUUUAUUUGUUUAUUAAUAAGUCUGCCCCCAGGAUGAGGACAAUCGAGGCAUGAUUAUAUAAACUCAAUAAAAGAGACGCCACGUGCUGGCGUACGGCUAGUAGUACGUAAUAUCACUUUCACGCUACAAGCUAAAUCCGUUGCUGCCUGGUAAAUCAAUGAACCGAACUUAGAAAUAUAUACUUUGGAUAAAUGCUCGUAACAUGUGGGACACACGUUGUUAGUUAUUUAGUUCUAUUAGACGAGAAAAAGAAGAAGAAAAAAGAAGUGCAUACACGGCAGUGCACUUCAUUGCUCAAUGACAAAAGCUUGUUAGUGAAGCUUCACCGAGCUCCUAUUCGUUGGCCUUUUAGGACGACGAUACGUCAGCGGCAGAAAGCGAGCAACGUCACCGGAGGUACAUUGACAUUUUUAGGAGACUAUACAAGGUUAAUCUCUAAUCGACGAAAGGAUCGCCCUAAUUAACCUUUACAUGAAUCCUUAUAGCUGGAUUAUGGAUAUUUGUAAAUUUAUGAGAAACUUAAAGAUGUCAAAAUAUAUACCUACAUACACAAUAUACAAAAAUAUACAAAAUUCACAGAAAUAUGAAUUUGUAUGAAUAUCUGUAAUUUGAUUAUAAACGUUCCUUCUUUAUCAGGAUAGAUUUUGACAAUUGUUUCAUGGGAUGGAUUAAAAGAUGCAGAGGUUCUACCAGCAGACACUGAAUGGAGUUAGAAAUAAUUAAUAUGAUAUGUAUAAUGAAUGUAAAUAUACAAGAGAUAAUUUAUUGGUAAUUGAACAGC